rnacentral:rRNA from 1 species
AUAGACAGCCAGGAUGUUGGCUUAGAAGCAGCCAUCAUUUAAAGAAAGCGUAAUAGCUCACUGGUCGAGUCGGCCUGCGCGGAAGAUGUAACGGGGCUAAACCAUGCACCGAAGCUGCGGCAGCGACGCUUAUGCGUUGUUGGGUAGGGGAGCGUUCUGUAAGCCGUCGAAGGUGAACUGUGAGGUUUGCUGGAGGUAUCAGAAGUGCGAAUGCUGACAUAAGUAACGAUAAUGCGGGUGAAAAACCCGCACGCCGGAAGACCAAGGGUUCCUGUCCAACGUUAAUCGGGGCAGGGUGAGUCGACCCCUAAGGCGAGGCUGAAAAGCGUAGUCGAUGGGAAGCUGGUUAAUAUUCCAGCACUUGGUGUUACUGCGAAGGGGGGACGGAGAAGGCUAGGCUAGCCGGGCGACGGUUGUCCCGGUUCAAGCGUGUAGGGGUGUAGUCCUGGUAAAUCCGGAUUACUUUAACCCUGAGGCGUGAUAACGAGCCACUACGGUGGUGAAGUAGUUGAUGCCAAGCUUCCAGGAAAAGCCUCUAAGCUCCAGGUAACACGAAAUCGUACCCCAAACCGACACAGGUGGUCAGGUAGAGAAUACUCAGGCGCUUGAGAGAACUCGGGUGAAGGAACUAGGCAAAAUGGUGCCGUAACUUCGGGAGAAGGCACGCUGGCGCGUAGGUGAAGGGACUUGCUCCCGGAGCUGAAGCCAGUCGAAGAUACCAGCUGGCUGCAACUGUUUAAUAAAAACACAGCACUGUGCAAACACGAAAGUGGACGUAUACGGUGUGACGCCUGCCCGGUGCCGGAAGGUUAAUUGAUGGGGUUAUCCGUAAGGAGAAGCUCUUGAUCGAAGCCCCGGUAAACGGCGGCCGUAACUAUAACGGUCCUAAGGUAGCGAAAUUCCUUGUCGGGUAAGUUCCGACCUGCACGAAUGGCGUAAUGAUGGCCAGGCUGUCUCCACCCGAGACUCAGUGAAAUUGAACUCGCUGUGAAGAUGCAGUGUACCCGCGGCAAGACGGAAAGACCCCGUGAACCUUUACUAUAGCUUGACACUGAACAUUGAGCCUUGAUGUGUAGGAUAGGUGGGAGGCUUUGAAGCGUGGACGCCAGUCUGCGUGGAGCCAACCUUGAAAUACCACCCUUUAAUGUUUGAUGUUCUAACUCGGCCCCAUAAUCUGGGGUGAGGACAGUGUCUGGUGGGUAGUUUGACUGGGGCGGUCUCCUCCUAAAGAGUAACGGAGGAGCACGAAGGUUAGCUAAUCACGGUCGGACAUCGUGAGGUUAGUGCAAUGGCAUAAGCUAGCUUGACUGCGAGAGUGACGGCUCGAGCAGGUACGAAAGUAGGUCAUAGUGAUCCGGUGGUUCUGAAUGGAAGGGCCAUCGCUCAACGGAUAAAAGGUACUCCGGGGAUAACAGGCUGAUACCGCCCAAGAGUUCAUAUCGACGGCGGUGUUUGGCACCUCGAUGUCGGCUCAUCACAUCCUGGGGCUGAAGUAGGUCCCAAGGGUAUGGCUGUUCGCCAUUUAAAGUGGUACGCGAGCUGGGUUUAGAACGUCGUGAGACAGUUCGGUCCCUAUCUGCCGUGGGCGUUGGAAGAUUGAGAGGGGCUGCUCCUAGUACGAGAGGACCGGAGUGGACGCAUCACUGGUGUUCGGGUUGUCAUGCCAAUGGCAUUGCCCGGUAGCUAAAUGCGGAAAAGAUAAGCGCUGAAAGCAUCUAAGCGCGAAACUUGCCUCGAGAUGAGUCUUCCCUGUGGCUUUAAGCCACCUGAAGGGACGUUUAAGACUAAGACGUUGAUAGGCUGGGUGUGUAAGUGCAGCGAUGCAUUGAGCUAACCAGUACUAAUGACCCGAGAGGCUUAACCUUACAACACCAAAGGUGUUUU